rnacentral:tRNA from 17 species
GGGGGUGAAUGAGGACUGGUGUCCUCCCUGGGCUUCAAACCCACGUGGCGCGCGGCCAACCCGGGCGCGGUAGGUUCGAUUCCUACCCACUCCC